GGACUCAUGCUCACAAGUCAUUGCAGUUGGAGUCAACUGUACAGCUCCCAGAUUUAUUGUUGGUUUGAUUUCAUCUAUUAAAAAGGGUACAAGUAAGCCUAUAAUUGUGUAUCCCAACAGUGGAGAGAGUUAUAUUGCUGAGACCAACCAAUGGGAGGUCAUAGCUACCGGACUGACUACUUUUAGUGAACAAGAGUCUGAUCCAGUCUGGCAUUAUUUCAAUAUACAGCUUUAUGUUAGGGAUGCAUCUAAGAACUGGAAGUUGGUUCAGUCGGAAGGGAAUAGUCGAUUCUCUCUGAGAGCCAUCAGAAAAUCUGAUCUUGCUGGACUAUACUUCAACCAAGAAAUGGAAGGGUAUUGUAGAUUUCGAUGAUCAUCUUGACGAUAUAAGCAAGAAAGACUGGGCCAGGUGUAGCAGCAUGAUGGCAAAGUAGAACUAAAGAAGCAUGAUUUCUUGCACUAUUCUUAUCUGUAAAUGUUCUUCAUUAUUGAUUACUAAUGAGCUUGUGCUGAUGUUUGUGCCUCGGCCAUUGAAAUUUUAUGUUAAUAUGUACUUUAUAAACGUGCUUUUAAUUUCUUAGUCAAUGCCCCAAUGGUCCUUAUGUUGAUUUCUGGCAAAAUCAUGGUGCUGUUGUACUUCCAUUGUAUAGUUGCAUUAUUAGUUAUUGAUAUCAUUGCCUUAAUGUGUACAGAUAUUUCCUUCUCCUUUUUCUAAAUUAUAUUCAAGUUUAAGUGCUAA